rnacentral:rRNA from 1 species
CCUACGGGGUGCUGCAGUGGGGAAUAUUGGACAAUGGGUGAAAGCCUGAUCCAGCCAUGCCGCGUGUGUGAAGAAGGCCUUCGGGUUGUAAAGCACUUUCAGUGGGGAAGAAAGCCUUGGGGCUAAUACCCUCGAGGAAGGACAUCACCCACAGAAGAAGCACCGGCUAACUCCGUGCCAGCAGCCGCGGUAAUACGGAGGGUGCGAGCGUUAAUCGGAAUUACUGGGCGUAAAGCGCGCGUAGGCGGUCUGAUAAGCCGGUUGUGAAAGCCCCGGGCUCAACCUGGGAACGGCAUCCGGAACUGUCAGGCUAGAGUGCAGGAGAGGAAGGUAGAAUUCCCGGUGUAGCGGUGAAAUGCGUAGAGAUCGGGAGGAAUACCAGUGGCGAAGGCGGCCUUCUGGACUGACACUGACGCUGAGGUGCGAAAGCGUGGGUAGCAAACAGGAUUAGAUACCCUUGUAGUC